rnacentral:rRNA from 1 species
AGAGUUUGAUCAUGGCUCAGGAUGAACGCUAGCGGCAGGCUUAACACAUGCAAGUCGAGGGGCAGCGGGAUGUAGCAAUACAUUGCCGGCGACCGGCGGAUGGGUGCGUAACGCGUAUGCAACCUACCUUAUACAGGGGAAUAACCUUUCGAAAGGGAGACUAACACCCCAUAGUAUUGAUUUAAGGCAUCUUAGAUUAAUUAAAUAUUUAUAGGUAUAAGAUGGGCAUGCGUAUGAUUAGCUAGUUGGUAAGGUAACGGCUUACCAAGGCGACGAUCAUUAGGGGUUCUGAGAGGAAGGUCCCCCACACUGGUACUGAGACACGGACCAGACUCCUACGGGAGGCAGCAGUGAGGAAUAUUGGUCAAUGGGCGCAAGCCUGAACCAGCCAUGCCGCGUGCAGGAAGACGGCCUUAUGGGUUGUAAACUGCUUUUACAUAAGACUAACCGUAUAUUUGCGAAUAUACCUGAAUGUAUUAUGAGAAUAAGGAUCGGCUAACUCCGUGCCAGCCGCAGC